GUUGAACGCUGGCGGCAUGCUUUACACAUGCAAGUCGAACGGUAACAGGGUGCUUGCACCGCUGACGAGUGGCGAACGGGUGAGUAAUGCGUCGGAACGUGCCGAGGAGUGGGGGAUAACGCAGCGAAAGUUGUGCUAAUACCGCAUACGUACUGAGGUAGAAAGUGGGGGACCUUCGGGCCUCACGCUAUUCGAGCGGCCGACGUCUGAUUAGCUAGUAGGUGAGGUAAAGGCUCACCUAGGCGACGAUCAGUAGCGGGUCUGAGAGGAUGAUCCGCCACACUGGGACUGAGACACGGCCCAGACUCCUACGGGAGGCAGCAGUGGGGAAUUUUGGACAAUGGGCGAAAGCCUGAUCCAGCCGUGUCGCGUGUCUGAAGAAGGCCUUCGGGUUGUAAAGGACUUUUGUCGGGGAGGAAAUCCCCAGCGUUAAUACCGCUGGGGGAUGACAGUACCUGAAGAAUAAGCACCGGCUAACUACGUGCCAGCAGCCGCGGUAAGAC
rnacentral:rRNA from 1 species